rnacentral:tRNA from 1 species
GGUUGUUCCCUGGGGGCAAUUUGUCUUGAAAAUAAAUUAAAAGUGUUCGAUUCACUUCACAACCU